AGAUAACACAGGAUCCUGUUGCCUUUGUGCCCCUCCCUGAAUUCGCUGUCCAUUUUUCUUAACAGCAGUUGCUUGUGAUGACUGCCUGCUCCCUUACAACAGUUAGAGAAACACUUUUGAGCAUCCUCACAAUAAGAAGCAAGCAGCUACCCUGGGGUAAUGGAGAAGACUGUUAGACUUCGGUAAAGUCCUGCCUGCCUACUCCACCUAGAGCUACCAUCACACAAGAGUACAGCCUGCAGCUGUACUCUUCAACUAGUCCACUUGAAUCAGCACUGCUAACCUGGCUACCAGGGACAGGUUAUAUGCCCAGAGUGCAUAAGGCCUGGUUGGCCACUCACAGGGCCAUCCAGCACAGCAACCACUCAGCUUUCCUAAAAAUAUCCCCAAAUGCAGAUACACACAAACCAGUAGAGUCAUCUUCCUCCAAGCAUGGGAUCCACAGUUAUUACUCUGAAAACCUUCCUGUUUGCUGAUUCCUGGUCCCCGCAGAUGCAAAAACAUUGGCAUAUAGCUAGGCCUUGCAUGCUGUAUACAGGUGAGUAGACAGGAGUUUGGACUCUGCCAUGCUCACAUGGUCCCUUCCUAUUACAGCCAUUGCAUAAAGAGCAAAAGACACAGCACACCAGCACAGACUCCCCAUGAGCCAAGCUGAGGGGGCAGCAGGAAAGUAGAGACCAGGGUAACUCCCAGAGGAGGGUUAUUCCGGAUGUUGUAGUUAGAGUGGGGUGGGUGGUCCAUGGUGGGUCCAAGCUUUACUGAGUAGCACCUAUUAGAGCCUCAUGUGCACCUUGUGCCUCUUCAUGCUCCUGUAUCAGGGCACUGAGGGCAGGAAAGCUGUGACCUCCUUCAGUGCUGUCACAGCCUGAUGUCUGUGACCACAGGACUCUGAGAAGGGGAACAGUGGGAAAGGACAGGGGCUUCCAAGAUGGGAAACUUGUAAAAGAGAUGGUGAAGCUGAUCUGAGCAGUGGGGAGAGAUGGACAGCAGUGGCAUGGGCACCCUCAGCACAGCUUCACUGCCUCCUUUCCAGGUUUGGCAUCUGGUGCCCCUGGGAGCACCAGGGAAGGAGUGUAGACAUACUACAGUACACCGCACUGUGCCUUGCAGAACUGAGCUGAGAAUAUCUAUUAUGUUUGUAACAGUUCUGUUUUUUCUUUGCCCAGGGCUCAAACCAUUAGUGCAACCAGCCUUAAAAGGGUUUCCCCAUAAUCACACAUCUGCUGGAAUAUCUGAUUUUUUUUUCCUUUUCUGCUGUUCUGGCCAUCGACCAAACGGCACCUUUUGCCUUUGUCAGGGUUGCUACUCAUGGGGCACUUUUGUAGAGAGCCAGCACAUGGAUUCCUGGGGUCCAUAGUAUAGUCCAUGAGCUCUUGAGGGAAGGGAACAUUUUAGUUGUCCUCUGGUCAGUGAGCUUCAUUCCCUGAAAAGGCAGAACUUUAGUUGUGGUCUGCAUAUUGCAUGGUAUGUGCAAAGUCUGGAACCACUGCUUUGAACCCCACAAAGGCAUGGGAGUCAGCAUGAAACAUCUCACCUUACUAUACAGGAGGCAGCCAACUGACAUUAUUCUCACAUGUUUUUUAAGGAACACCCAUUAAAUGCAAAUGCAAAGAUCAGGGGAUAAUAGGAAAGUAGUGCUGGAAGCAACCUCCUGAUGUCAUCUAGUCCAGCCCCCUGCUCAAGCAGGAUCAUCCCUGACUAAAUCAUCCCAAGUCAAGUGUUUGCCUAAUCUGCUCUAGCAUAUUCCAGCAUGGGAAAGGAAGAGCUGCACGGUUUUUGACUCAUUUAGAUUAAAGGCAUUUUUUGUUUCCUUCUUGAUUGUGUUUUACUUACAAGUUCAAAUUGUAUCUGUCCUGCCUCUUUGAAGUCUUUAUGGGCCACUGGUGACCUUAAAAUUUAGGCAAACAAUGCUUUGGAAAGCUCCCAUCCAUAUUCCCUACAAAGACUUCGGGAACAUUGUGGGGGAGAGAGUUCCUGAGGAAUCCAGCUGGGUUUUAUGCAAGCCUUAAUGCAUGCUGGUACAGGACACCAGAUGACUGGUCAUGUUAGAUGCAUCCAAUAAACGCAACUGAUCUUUACUUUAAUACCAAGCCUCAGCAUAUUACUCUCAUUAAAGGCUUAACAUGACCUGGAAUGCAAGAGAAGAAUCCAGGCUCAUUCAUGCUACUCUUAAACUACACACCUUUUGAGGUGGAUUCAUUGUUGUCAGUAACCCAAGAGCCCACAAGGAUUAUAAGUCAUCUUGCCUUCUCAGGGUUUGACUGGGUAACAAGAAUCUCCA